CGGGUGAGUAACACGUAAACAACCUGCCUUCAAGAUGGGGACAACAGACGGAAACGACUGCUAAUACCGAAUACGAUCCGAAAGUCGCACGACAUUCGGAUGAAAGGGUGGCCUAUCGAAGAAGCUAUCGCUUGAAGAGGGGUUUGCGUCCGAUUAGGUAGUUGGUGAGGUAACGGCCCACCAAGCCGACGAUCGGUAGCCGGUCUGAGAGGAUGAACGGCCACACUGGAACUGAGACACGGUCCAGACUCCUACGGGAGGCAGCAGAC
rnacentral:rRNA from 1 species